rnacentral:rRNA from 1 species
AGGAACAUCAAUGGCGAAGGCAGCCGCCUGGGCAUGAACCGACACUGAGACACGACAGCGUGGGGAGCAAACAGGAUUAGAUACCCUGGUAGUCCACGCUGUAAACGAUGAGAACUUGACGUAUCUAUGUUUUACAUAGGUGUGUCGAAGCUAACGCGCUAAGUUCUCCGCCUGGGGAGUACCGGCCGCAAGGUUGAAACUCAAAGGAAUUGACGGGGGCCCGCACAAGCGUUGGAGUAUGCGGUUUAAUUCGAUGCAACGCGAAGAACCUUACCUGGUCUUGACAUGUCUAGAAUCCUGUAGAGAUAUGGGAGUGCCGCAAGGAACUAGAACACAGGUGCUGCAUGGCUGUCGUCAGCUCGUGUCGUGAGACGUUGGGUUAAGUCCCGCAACGAGCGCAACCCUUGCCCUUAGUUGCCACCAUUCAGUUGAGCACUCUAAGGGGACCGCCAGCGACAAGCUGGAGGAAGGUGGGGAUGACGUCA